rnacentral:rRNA from 1 species
CCUACGGGGGGCUGCAGUGAGGAAUAUUGGUCAAUGGACGGAAGUCUGAACCAGCCAUGCCGCGUGCAGGAAGACGGCUCUAUGAGUUGUAAACUGCUUUUGUACAAGGGUAAACCUGAACACGUGUAUUCAGCUGAAAGUACUUUACGAAUAAGGAUCGGCUAACUCCGUGCCAGCAGCCGCGGUAAUACGGAGGAUCCAAGCGUUAUCCGGAUUUAUUGGGUUUAAAGGGUGCGUAGGCGGGUUGAUAAGUUAGUGGUGAAAUGUCCGGGCUUAACUCGGGAACUGCCUCUAAUACUGUUGGUCUAGAGAGUAGAUGCGGUAGGCGGAAUGUAUGGUGUAGCGGUGAAAUGCUUAGAGAUCAUACAGAACACCGAUUGCGAAGGCAGCUUACCAAUCUAUAUCUGACGUUGAGGCACGAAAGCGUGGGGAGCAAACAGGAUUAGAUACCCGGGUAGUC